ensembl:misc_RNA
AAAGGACUUGUAUGAACACAAGCAGGGAAAGAAGUAAAAGAGAAAUUGAGCUAAUGCCAGCAGGUCAGCUUUGAUUAA